rnacentral:tRNA from 1 species
AGAAUUUUAAGUUAAAAAAACUAGGAAUUUUCAAAAUUCCAAAUAUAUAAGUAUGUUAUUUAUUUAAAUUCUG